rnacentral:rRNA from 1 species
AUUGAACGCUAGCGGGAUGCUUUACACAUGCAAGUCGAACGGCAGCGCGGACUUCGGUCUGGCGGCGAGUGGCGAACGGGUGAGUAAUGUAUCGGAACGUGCCCAGUAGCGGGGGAUAACUACGCGAAAGCGUAGCUAAUACCGCAUACGCCCUACGGGGGAAAGCAGGGGAUCGUAAGACCUUGCACUAUUGGAGCGGCCGAUAUCGGAUUAGCUAGUUGGUGAGGUAACGGCUCACCAAGGCGACGAUCCGUAGCUGGUUUGAGCGGACGACCAGCCACACUGGGACUGAGACACGGCCCAGACUCCUACGGGAGGCAGCAGUGGGGAAUUUUGGACAAUGGGGGCAACCCUGAUCCAGCCAUCCCGCGUGUGCGAUGAAGGCCUUCGGGUUGUAAAGCACUUUUGGCAGGAAAGAAACGUCGCGGGCUAAUACCCCGUGGAACUGACGGUACCUGCAGAAUAAGCACCGGCUAACUACGUG